AAGUCGUAACAAGGUUUCCGUAGGUGAACCUGCGGAAGGAUCAUUAACACUCUUUUUUCAAUGAAAGAGCUCAUUUUUUGAUAUCUUUGUUUUUUCUUUUGAGAAACUUGGAUUCAAAUAAUGGGUAUUCACCCCCUUAUAUUGACGAACGAAGAAAAACAAUGAUUUUGUUUCAAAAGCAAAACUCAUAUUUUUCUAUCUUUUUUCUCUAUACCUUAUAUUUUUCAAAACCCCUUUUUUUACAAUAUGUCUUAGACUGAAAUGAAAAAUUAAGAUAAAUUAAAAAACAACUCUUAACAACGGAUAUCUUGGUUCUC
rnacentral:misc_RNA from 1 species